rnacentral:rRNA from 1 species
CGCUUUCACUCCUACGGGAGGCAGCAGUGGGGAAUAUUGCACAAUGGGCGCAAGCCUGAUGCAGCCAUGCCGCGUGUGUGAAGAAGGCCUUCGGGUUGUAAAGCACUUUCAGUCGUGAGGAAGGUAGUGUAGUUAAUAGCUGCAUUAUUUGACGUUAGCGACAGAAGAAGCACCGGCUAACUCCGUGCCAGCAGCCGCGGUAAUACGGAGGGUGCGAGCGUUAAUCGGAAUUACUGGGCGUAAAGCGCAUGCAGGUGGUUUGUUAAGUCAGAUGUGAAAGCCCGGGGCUCAACCUCGGAAUUGCAUUUGAAACUGGCAGACUAGAGUACUGUAGAGGGGGUAGAAUUUCAGGUGUAGCGGUGAAAAUGCGUAGAGAUCUGAAGGAAUACCGGUGGCGAAGGCGGCCCCCUGGACAGAUACUGACACUCAGAUGCGAAAGCGUGGGGAGCAAACAGGAUUAGAUACCCUGGUAG